AAGGUAUAGUGACAAAUGACAUUCUAACUAUACCAGGAGACAUCAAAAUAGACGUUGAUGAAUCAGCCAAAUUACCAUUAGAACAAUCUAAUGCACAAGAAGACAUUUAUGAUUUUGAUAAGGAAGAUUCAGGCACAAAAGAAUUUACAACUGAAAUUCCUAAUGGGGAAGAUGGAGAACCUCAAAGAGGAAGAGAUGCCCAAAAUUGAUAGACUGGUCAAUCCGGUAGACCUAAGAAAGAAUAUAGUAAACCAAGAGAGACAUGCAAACCAGAUGAUAGAAGAAUUCCAGAUCCUGAAAUGUUAAAUCAUAAUGACUGUGAUUCAUGACUAACUGCCAUGGAAAAUGAAUAUAAUAG
rnacentral:lncRNA from 1 species